rnacentral:lncRNA from 10 species
GGACUUCUUUAGCUUCCAUGAUCUUCUUUAUUGAAGCAUCUGAAGAUGGAGCAUUCAGCCAGUCGGGAGUGUCUUGAGAUCCUGAGCAGCCAAGAAAUCCUAGGGCCUUCUCUUGUAUCUUUUCCAUGCUGAAAAACACAAAACCCCGAAAUGGGUGAAGAAGGAAAUGCUCAUCUUGACGAGUGGGGGAGAUGAAGUCAUGAGAUCAUAAAUGCCAGACUGUCUAAGUGCAGGGAGUAAACUGUCCUGCUGAGCCCACAGGCCCCUGGGACAGCCUGUUGGUCUGCACUGCACUCCGGGAAACAUGCACCGCAUUCGCAGGUUUAUAUCAGUGGUCCUCAACCCUGUUGCCCAUGAGAAGAUUCUACUUCAUUGAUCUGAGGUGAACCGUGCACACUGGCAUUUUCUUAAAAUUCCCCAAGGAUUAUAAUGUAAAACCAGGAUUGAGAACUUCUGGUUGGGGGAAGGUCUCCCUGUGAAUAAAUCACAAACGGCUGGCGACAAGUUUUGGGUCACCUCACUCCUCUCAGCUUUCAACUUAUACCAGAAUAUACCAGGAUAUAGAAUGGCAUCUUGACCAUCUCCUCGCCCCCAGCAAAUUCUUUCUCUUGCAUGAGCUUCUUUUGUAUCCCUAAUCACACUGCAUUGUCAUUAUUUCCAUAAAUAUCUCCCCUACAAGACCUUGAGUUCUUUGAGGUAAGGAAAUAUACAUCUCAUUUCAUCUUUAUUAUUCCUGGUACCUAGCACAUAGUAGUUGCUCAGGAAAGAUUUCUGGAACUGAUUUUAAGAAUGUCACAUCAUAGCCCCAGCCAUGGUGCUAUGGAACAGAUGCCUGUGUCCCCCAAAAUUCUUAUGUUCAAAUCCUAACCAUGAAGGUGAUGGUAUUAGGGGGUGGGCCUUUGAGAGCUGAUUAGGUCACCCUAAUGGAAUUAGUGUCCUUAUGAAAGAAGCCUCUUUCUCCUUCUGCCCCGUGAGGUUACAGUGAAAAGAUGGUUGUCUAUGAAGCAGGCCCUCCUCAGAUGCCGAAUUUACUGGCACCUUGAUCUUUGGACUUCCUUGCCUCUAGAACUAUGAGAAAUUUUUGUUGUUUAUAAGCCACCAGUUUAUAGCAAUUUGCUAUAGCGCCCUAUAAUGGACUAAGACACAUGGCCACCAUUUUAU